AACAACUGAUGCACAGACAGCUGUUUUUCCCUUCCCCUCCUUUUUGCUCCCCUAACUAUUCUCCUUUUUUCGCUUCUUCCCUACACUGCGUCCAUUCAUCCCCUCUGUACUUUCCCCUUCCUUCCCUCUUACUUUAUCAUUCUGCCCUGCACUUUUCUUCAGGCAGAUAUAAAGGCAGGUCCCACUGAAGGGAGAGGGCUUGUGUAAUCUCUGGCUGCACAUGAGCACCGGAGAGUUAUUGCUUCAGCUCGAAAGGCACCGCAACAGAGGAGUUGGAAAGAACUAGAGGACAAACUCUGGGAUAAGCAGAAGGAAGAAGAAGGAAUACUUCUAAGACAGGAAGAGAGGUGAAGGAGGGAGACACAGAGAGAGUUUGGAGUUGGGGUGCAGGACACAGACCAUGCCGGGCUCUGUGGUGCUGCUGCUGCUGCUGUCCCUGUUGGUCCUGUCCACAGGAAGUGAUGCCAGACGAAUCAGGAAAAGAGGACUCAACCAUAAGGACUAUGAGUACCCCAACCACCCCCAGUCCACACAGCACCAGAAGAAUGACCGGUGUCCGCCCCCACCCCAGAUGCUGCCAGAGCGAGCCUGCGAGGUGCCGGGCUGCCGCUCAGACUCAGAGUGUGAGCGCCAUAAGCGCUGCUGCUACAACGGCUGCAUCUACGCCUGCCUGGAGUCUGUUCAGCCACCACCAGUGCUGGACUGGCUGGUGCAGCCCAAGCCUCGGUGGUUGGGGGGUAAUGGCUGGCUGCUAGAUGGACCCGAGGAGGUUCUGCAAGCUGAGGCCUGCAGUACAACUGAGGAUGGAGACGAGCCUCUCCACUGUCCCACAGGCUACGAGUGCCACAUCAUCAACCCAGGAAAUCCUGCCGCUGGCAUCCCUAACCGGGGACAGUGCAUCAAGCAGCGUGGGAACUCUGAUGGACGUGGUCUGAGGCACAAAUACUUUAAGGACUACAAGGACUACUUGGGUAAGUGAGGUACCAGUUCUAACAAUGCAGUAGGCUAUGAAAAACAUCAUCACAAGCACCUAGGAUGAAAUCAACCAUGACCUCAGCCUCAGCUACGACCAUAACACAACCUCAGACAUCAGCCCAGUCCUGUUCGAUCUGCUCUCAUCACACCUGAACCAGGAUCAGAUCUCACAUUUUUUACUACACCUACAGCUGCUACCUCCUCUUUGCAAAGCCCCGUUUUUUGCGGCCUCUCCUCAGUCACAACGUUCUUUGGGAGACAUGUCUGAUGCACCUACAGUACACAGCCAAAGAAAUAAGUGCUUUUUUGUCUCUCUGUCUGAUAUCUGUGAAAGGAAGGAGCCGAGGGUGUUGAUGGUGAAGCAGAGGAAGAGAGAGCAGGGUUGCACCAAAGCUGUUUUAUCAAAAAUCUCAAAGGAAAUAAGGAAACCUUGCCAUUUUAUCAUUUCUUUACAACGCUCUCCCUCAGUACCACUCAUUCUUAUUCUCACACACGGACUCUUAACUGAAGGCUGAGAACAUCAAGACCAUAUGGUCCUGUUACUCCUUCUAUAAAGGGCGCUACUCGAAUUUCCUCCAAUUUGGAAGGUUUUAUAGACAAAUAGGAGAUACAACCAGCUGUACUGUUUGCAUCUUUGAAUGAAAUCCAAAUGUGAAUUAAAAUUUUAUGUAAUUAUAAGAAUAAAUGCCAUAUGAGUGUGUGGAUGGUGUCAAUUUUGAAGGAUCUGGAAAAGCUGUGGGUUGGUUUCAGCCUACAGACAGUGGCCGUGACAUCACUGCUUUGAAAAACUAAAGUAAAAUAAGAUAAGAUAGUUCCUUCGAAAGAACCGGCUGAGCCAAGUUUACAUUUAAACAGAUACUCCACCUGUGAAGGCGGAGACCUUGAACAGCUUUUAAAAGCCACCUUUAAAUAAGCCUACAGAUGGCAAGUGUUUGAUCCUGAAAAGAUAGAUUUAAAUAAUUUACUGAAAUAAAUUUAGUGAAAAGAUGCUUUUAAAGAAGAGAGUCGUGUAACGAAUACCUAUCAGAGCAGUUUUAUGAAAUGCUUGCAUGAUUGUGCAAGGGUUUAAUAUUUUUUGUGUGUGCAUGUGUUUGCAUGUGUGUGAGUCAUCUGCUGACAAAUUUAGCUUAUCAGACAAACAAAAUAACUCAGUGUGCCUAUUAAAUUAUCACACUAUCACAUCCCCAUGUUGCUGUUGAAACAUAAAAAUAUAAAGGGCUUUUGCGCAGAGCAGAUAUUUAAAACUGGUCAAAAGAUCUUCUGUGUUAAUUCUCAAACUUAAUCUCGCUUUCAAUCAACUGUUCAACUUAAGUUGUCUCUGUUUAUCAAUUCAAAUGGUGCUCACUUUCAUUGCUGCCUAUAAUAACAGAAGAAUAAGCUGGUCAUAUAAUAAGCUGAAGGUGCAAAACAAAAGCUGUAACCAUUCUCUGUAUGCAGAACUAAAGUGAUGUCUGAAUGUUGCUAACUGACUGGUGCUGUAAUGCUGCCUUGU